GGCGGCAUGCCUUACACAUGCAAGUCGAACGGCAGCACGGGAGCAAUCCUGGUGGCGAGUGGCGAACGGGUGAGUAAUAUAUCGGAACGUGCCCAGUAGUGGGGGAUAGCCCGGCGAAAGCCGGAUUAAUACCGCAUACGACCUACGGGUGAAAGCGGGGGAUCGCAAGACCUCGCGCUAUUGGAGCGGCCGAUAUCAGAUUAGCUAGUUGGUGGGGUAAAAGCCUACCAAGGCGACGAUCUGUAGCUGGUCUGAGAGGACGACCAGCCACACUAGGACUGAGACACGGCCCAGACUCCUACGGGAGGCAGCAGUGGGGAAUUUUGGACAAUGGGCGCAAGCCUGAUCCAGCCAUGCCGCGUGUGGGAAGAAGGCCUUCGGGUUGUAAACCACUUUUGUCAGGGAAGAAACGGCUCUUACUAAUAUUAGGAGCUAAUGACGGUACCUGAAGAAUAAGCACCGGCUAACUACGUGCCAGCAGCCGCGGUAAUACGUAGGGUGCAAGCGCUAAUCGGAAUUACUGGGCGUAAAGCGUGCGCAGGCGGCUAUGCAAGACAGAUGUGAAAUCCCCGGGCUCAACCUGGGAACUGCAUUUGUGACUGCAUGGCUAGAGUACGGUAGAGGGGGAUGGAAUUCCGCGUGUAGCAGUGAAAUGCGUAGAUAUGCGGAGGAACACCGAUGGCGAAGGCAAUCCCCUGGACCUGUACUGACGCUCAUGCACGAAAGCGUGGGGAGCAAACAGGAUUAGAUACCCUGGUAGUCCACGCCCUAAACGAUGUCAACUGGUUGUUGGACGGCUUGCUGUUCAGUAACGAAGCUAACG
rnacentral:rRNA from 1 species